UUCCAUUCUUUAUCACAUUACUAGGUAAGUUUUAUAAUUCUACUUUUUCUGAUCAACCAGGCAUUCUAGGUGGUGGUGGUCUGGAGCUAAACAUUUUUGGGGACCUAAUUUGGACAAAAUGUACUUUGGGUGGCAGCUUAGAUAAAAAACGUAAUAAAUAUUUGGUAUAAAAAUUACAAGUUCAGAAGAAGAGUGCGGGAAAAGUAGGGCGAAUGCUUGCCACCGGGCACUUCUGUACCCAAUUGCAGCUAUGAUAAUAAUAAUAAUAAUAAUCCACAGCCUGGAACACUCCCCGGCAUUCAUUUGCUGAUCAUCCAAAGUACUACAAAUAAGAGGAAUGGAGGAAUGAAAUGGCCUGUAGCCACUGUUAAACAAUUUUUUACUAGGCAAACUUUUCACUGCAAUUUUAUUUUGCGACAUAGUUUAAGCUCUUGUUAUAAUUAGUUUCACAGAAAUUGGUACUUUUACACAAACUGUUACUUUAUUUUCGUAGCGGAAAUUUUGUAUAUAGGAGAGUUAUUAGACUACUGUGUCUAAUUAAACACUACAUAUAUAACUCCCGGAAAAAAAGCAUUAAAAUAUUAGCAUUACGAAUCACGAUUUUCAAUAGCGCGUAGUUGACCGACGUUAUAAAGUUAUGAAAAUAAUCUUUCAAAACAAUAACAAACAUAACCUAUCAAACAUCAACAUUAGCCAUUUUCUUGAACUGUGCACAUAAAUUCUUUAUAACGUUGGAAAAAUGUUUUGUAAUACCUACAUCUCUCAUCGAGUUUUUAAAAAAAGCUGCCAAGUAUGUGUAAUUAUCAUUUAAAUGCAAUUAACUAAAAAAAGUUCAUAAAGCACAAUGUUAAAACCGGACCACUGUCUUGUGGCGACAACGGCAGUUUUAUGAACUAAAUCCGUCAAUAAGGGGGUCAAGAAAAUACGCUUGUGUCCAGACCUGGUUUCUAAGACCGUGGUCGUGUGUGAAUUUUGACGAGUCGUGUGCGAACCAUAUGAUGACUUAAGACUUAACAGAAAUGGUUAUAUUUUAUAUUUUUCGUUAAGACUUAAGGGAAGCGACCAAUCACAACAAACCGGAACCUUUCAACCGGAAGUUUAUGUCUUAUUAUUGGACCGAGCGAGGCAGUAUUUUGGGUUAGAAUUCGUAUAUUUGUCAUUUGUAAUCAUCAUCCAUUUCGAAAAAUAGAUAUCCCAUUUGUCAAUAACCUAUUUCAAACCUGCUUCUCCGUUUCGAACAAUGGCCGACCAUGUGUUUUGUGCUGUGAUUGGUUAGAAUUAACGACUUCUAUGUCAAUCAUAAACUGGAAAAUGUAGUUUUGACUUAAUCGUGUGCUCGAUGUUAAGUUAUAAUUCUUAAGGAAAUCUAUCGUAAACCCAGCUUAAGAUGUUGGAAGAACUGUGUUUUUGUUUGAAAUUAUGGGUAUUGAAAUACAUGCUCUAUUUUGUAUGGUUCUGUACGUAUGGAUCCACACCUUUACUUGUGUGUCCUUCACCUUCAUAUAUUAACUGUUUAUUCUUUUCCUGAGCACAUUACAUAUGAAAGCUGCCAAUUUGGACAACCAAAAAUUCGACAUAAAUAGAAACAGGUAUGGAGGCCAUACAUUUGUGCGCCGAACGAGUUCUAUGAAUGCGGUUUCAACUUUCUCCACCGUUCUGCCGGUAAGUUUACCGAGAAAUUACAUAGGAGCGGGACAAGAACCAAUGAUCACUCAGUGUGCAAGUAGCCUACAUUAAUGUGAUCGGUACUUAUGCAUCAAAGUCUCGACAGAAACUGACGGUCAUAUAUAAUAAACAAACGUGUUAGUUAACAGGCCUAAUUUACUACCCACAUUAGUAAUGUGAGAAGUGAUAUGAAAUUAUUACACACAGUGUACAGUUAAACUCCAGGUCCUGCCUGAUGAAAUAUUUGCAACUAGCUGAAGAGCCCAGCGUUGCCCGGGCUAAACACAUCGUGAAGAGACUUCUUGUAGGCCGAUGGGGAUAAUUAUUUUCGAAAUAUCAUGAGACAGUACAUAUUAUGUACUGAAAUUUGGCUUUAAGGGGUGUGGGGAUGUUUUUCCGAAAUCUCACGUAGACGUUGACCUUCCUCGUUUUUCAAAUGUCAAGUGUCAAAAUAUCAUCGAGAUAGGAGUAAAACGGUAGAUUUUUGUAAGAAAGAAACAAAAAUAUACUUAUAUAUAUAUAUAUAUAACGCCACCACAAUCCCCCCUCCCAUAUAGUUUUUGGGAAACCACGUUCUUAGUUGAUGUCUUUGUAAUAUAAGGGACAUCCCUGCCGAGUUUUAAUUAUGUAAGGCACAUAGAUACUUGAAAGAAAAAAAAGGAAUUUUGAUUUUUAACCUUCCUUUGGGAGCUGAUUUUCGUAAGAUCUUUUCUUAGCGGGUAGUCACUUAGCAAAAGGAAUACGAGUACCAAAUUUAAAGUAUGUCGGUUCAAUGCUUCCGGAGAUGAAACAUAGAGAAUAAAAUACUUGACUCAGUAUAAAAUAUUACAUGGACAAAGCAAUAUUAAUACAUUAAUUCCACAUAUACUCGUUACUAUGAAAGUGUAAGUUUUAUUCUUUAUGAAAACCAUAAUUAAUUAACAAUACGAAAAAUCAAAGCUGAAGUACCAGGCGUUGCCCAGGCUAAACACAUCAUAAUAUAAGGAACAUAAAUACCAAGUUUCAAGUCUGUAAGACAUAAAUUUGAAAAACGGGAAAUGCCAAUUUUAAAGUCCCAUUGAUUUCACAGUCUCGGCGCAUCAAGGCUACGCAUCAGAAAAACCGGGACGCCAAUCUUCAACUUCUUUUUGUGGUAAGGCAUCAGGUAACCCAUAGGAAAGACGUGAUGCACCAAACGAAAGCGCGUUACAAAUUAAAGGCAACGCCAUCUAUUGACAAAUUUCUAAACGAAACUGUUAUUAGUGCCUUUAGUUCGUUAGCAGCCGCGAGCACGGCCUUAGAACUACAGGUCUGGACACUUGUCUAUCUUGCCAUGCAUUCAACUUGACCCCCUUAUUGACUGAUUUAGUUCAUGAAACGGCCGCUGGCGCCACAAGACAGUGGUCCGGUUUUAGCGUGUUGACAAUAGGAAUUAUUUUAAAUAAAUCAGAAGUACUCGUUUGUCAAGAAGGGUAGUUGUUUUAUAUUUUUGACGUUUAUUAUUUAUAAUAAAAAAGUUAUGUAUGCGCAUAAAACUGAACAUUGAAGUGUGCAAGUUUUGAGUAAUGUUGAUUUUUCUGUUUGGGGCGGGAUGGUGGAGAGGUUAUUGGAGGCAGUUUUUGAAGUAAUGUGAACCUUCUAAUUUUUUUUAACCAAGUUCAAAUAAUUCAUCGUGCUGUAAAAUGCCAAAUCGCUGCGUUGCUCCAGGUUGUAAAACAAAUUACAACAGUUAAUUUGACAAGUGUCAUGUGUUCAGUGCACCCAAACAUAAACAACGCCGAUUGUUGUGGCAGGCAGCAAUUCCGAGGAAGGACUUUAUAUUAAAAAGCAGUCAUUUCGUAUGCGAGAAACAUUUCAUCGAAGCUGCAUUGCACACAUAAGUAUUGUGUAAUUAUUUCUUGCUGAUUUGUGCACAUGUAAUAUAUCUAUACAUAUUUAUGUAUUGUUAUGAAAGUUAAAUUCUAGUGAGUUUAUUUGUCUAUAGUUUCUGUAAACGAGUUAUUUUAUCUAUUGGUUCAGUUUUUCCUUCGCAAUAUUUUGUUUGGUAUAUUUAUCAAACCACUUGAAAAAUGUACAUGAAAAUGUUGUCUCAUGAUUAUCAUAAAAAUGAACACUUUAAAAAUUGAUACUCAGUACACUAGCUAAAUUGUACUUUUUAUUCAAAAUAACAUAGUACUUUGGUUGCAAAUAAUAGGGUAAUUUGAGCUACUAACAGUUAUUUAGUGAUAAGUCGACUGUUUCCACAGUUGCAUAAUACCUUGAGGGCUGUCAAAAUAGUGGCAAGUAGGCUAUACAUAUAGGUUUAUUAUGUUUUUUCGUAGAAAAGUUACUAUGUAUAAAGAAUUCAAUAGAGGGAUUGUCUAUCAUCUGCAUUCUCCUGGAUCGGUUCUGUUGUGCUUAGAUACCUACGUAGAAAGAUGUUGAGAUGACCCUUUGUUCAUUAUUAAAUGAGAAUACUCACCAAUUUAAUAGUAAUGCACUGUUGUAGGUUUUUUUUUGUUGUGGAUGUUUGUUAGAAUUAAUUGAUGUUUUUGCACAGAAAAUAUGUCAUUUGCAAAUAUACAUUUGAGGCUGUUUUAGUUGUAUAUUUGCAAAAAAUGAACUGAUGCACUAAAAUAUCAGUUCAAAAGAAGUUUUUUUUAUGAAAUUAAAAAUCUGUUAUUAAUGAUGAUAGAUAUUGAACUAUCUGAAUUUUUAAACCUUUAUGAAGUAGGUAGUGAUGUAGUUGAACAUUAAAAUGUUUUAAAAAUUCAUAAAGCUAAGUAGGGUUCAUGGGUAUUGAAGGGUUUAUUCUUCCUGUAAAUAGUUAAUCUGCUUUCUCUGUAUUUUAAAUUUCACACAAAUUAUUGAGCAUAAUAUUUAAUAUUUUUAUAAUAAUUUUGUAAACAGACUGAUUUCUUGUACUUAAGUUCGGCAGGAAAAAUUGGUUUAGUUCAUUUCAAAUUAUUGUUCUAAAAUCACUUACAUGCUAUGGAACUCGUCAAUAUUGUUCUGAAGAUUGGUGAUUGUGUUCUCGACAAAUGAUCUAACAUUUUUUUACAUAAAUUUUAUUAAACAAACAAUAUUUUUGUACCAAUGUUCAGGGACAGCAGACUGGUGAUUGGUUGAUGCAAUUUUGGGUUGGAAAUAAUUUCCUAUCACUUAAGGAACUUUUCCUUUCAUUCUUAGAUACCAUUGUGCCAUCAGGAACAAAUAAGAAAGUGACUAAUUUCCCAGCAUUAAUAACAAUAAUAAUUGAAGGAGAAAAAUAAUGUUGGACACAUCAAAAUACAGUAGAACCCUGUUAUAAUGUUCCUGCAUAUAAUGUUUUCCUGCUUAUAAUGUCAUAUUUUUAAAGUCCCAAUAUUUCCCCGACAAGGACAAUGUAUUUAUUUCCUGCAUAUAACAUUCAUAAACAGUGUAAUUUCCUGCUUAUAAUGUUUGCUUUCUAACAUUCAAUAAAUGGGGCAAAUAUGUUUUAAAACCAAAUUAUUCCAACACUUUCAAUAAAAAGUUUCCUUUAUGUAUGUUUAUGUUGACAAUCACUGCCAUACAAUACAUGAAGUUUGUUAAAAUACAAUUUUAUGCAAUAUACUGAAGGUACACAAUGUUCAUAGUUACGUGUCAGUUGGCACCCUUAGUCAACUCUUCUCUGCCUUGCCAUUGCAGUGGGUAUUCAGAUGCACGUACAUAGUCCUACGAUAUUUAAGUUGCCAACCAUUGAGCGAGGGCAUAACUAAAAGUGUUUUCUAUUGCCUACAAAUAAUUUUUUUUUUUUAUUCAUACGUAGGAAUCCCAAAAUCAAACAUUUUCAGGUGGCGAAGGAGUAGGCGUUCUCACUCUUAAUGUUGUCAUCAUGAAUCGUGAGACAAUUUUACAAAAAAUGUGGCAGUGUAUCUUUGAAGACAAACAAAAUUUAACCAGGGAACAAGAUGAAGUUGAAAAAUUGUUGGCUUGUUUCAGAAAAUUCAUGUAUCAAGUAUAAUAUCUUUGGUUUUAACAUUAAAGUUGUUUACAUAGCUUUGGUACAAAGCUCGAACAUUGUUAUGUGCUAAAUUGAGAUUUCCUGCUUAUAACGUUUUCCUGCUUAUGUUUUUUUUGUUGUGCUCCCUUGAAAAACAUUAUAACAGGGUUCUACUGUAGGUAUUUUGUUGUACCAGAUACAGUUUUUUUUAUAGACAGUUGGUACUGGGACUUACAUGUAUUUCCACCUCCCCUUCCAUUAUCAAAGUUUUAUUACAGUUUAGUUUGUAUUUUGGCCUGAAGACUAUUAAGAUGUUAAGUAUUUUCUAUAGAUCAUAAAUUAUAUAUUAACAAAGUAAGUGUGCAUGUUUUUCAUAAAGAUAUUGUAAUAGCUUGAAGAAUAAAAAGCUUAGUAACAAUGCUGUUCAGUUAUAUUUUAACCAAGCAAGAUGGUAGGUACUGCAUUUGUGUUAUUGAAAAUAAUUGAGAGUUCUAGAAAUAUAAGAGUACAUACAUCUCCCAGUCGUAGGACAAAAAAAUGUUUUUUGUGUGUGUAUCUAUGAGUACCAACCCAUGAGUACUCGUGCAUUUAUCUUUGUAUAUAUGUAGUACAUCUCCCUAAAUAGUCUUAACAUCAUUUAUUUUCUGUAAAUAUAUAAUAUGAUUUGUAAUAAAAUUUUCAUUUCAUAACAUGUUUUUAAAUAAGUACCUAAACUCAUAAGUUUUUUAUGCUAAUAGAAAGUUAGGGCACAUGGUAAUAGUUUAUAAAAUUUUGAUAAGUUAUGUUCUGCUGAUCUUUGUACUCUGCUCAAAAUGUUUCACACCAUGUAAACAUGUCAUCAUUUUAUUUAUAUUAUAAUAUACUUAUGUAAGUAUCUUAAGAUUAUGUAAAAUAUUAUUUUAAUUGAUAACAUGUAUUAUUUGAUGUAUUUUUAAUUGUAAAAAGUGGCUUGUCCAAUACCAUUGUGUAUAUUUCACUAUACAGGAAUAAUCUGGAUUGGAUGCAAAUAAACAAAAUAGCAAACCAAAA